UUAGCUUGGGGCAAAAGUAAUUGCGGUUUUUGCCAUUGAAAGUAAUGGCAAAAACCGCAAUUACUUCUACGCCAACCUAA
rnacentral:miRNA from 1 species